rnacentral:rRNA from 1 species
UACGGAGGAUGCGAGCGUUAUCCGGAUUUAUUGGGUUUAAAGGGUGCGUAGGCGGGCUUUUAAGUCAGCGGUAAAAAUUCGGGGCUCAACCCCGUCCGGCCGUUGAAACUGGGGGUCUUGAGUGGGCGAGAAGAAGGCGGAAUGCGUGGUGUAGCGGUGAAAUGCAUAGAUAUCACGCAGAACUCCGAUUGCGAAGGCAGCCUGCUGGACUGUAACUGACGCUGAUGCUCGAAAGUGUGGGUAUCAAACAGG